rnacentral:ribozyme from 1 species
GCGCGCCCUGUCGCGAGAACCGCGUCCU